AUAUACAAAAUGAAUCCGACCAAAAAUUUAAAAUUCAAAUUUGAAGCAGAAAAAACGAACCCAAAACAAUCAUUUUUCUUUACCAUAUAUCAAACCAUAUUGUAUAUUAAAAUCUAUAUAUCAAACUAUAUUGUAUAUUAAAACUUCAAAUACAAUCCCUGUGGUCUCACUUCAGUACCCUAUGGUUUAAAGUGUAUCAAUUUAGUACUAUGUGGUUUUAUAUUAUCCUUUUAUUAUCGAUUCCGCUAAUUUUUUUCGUUAAAUAAGUGACAAAGUUAAAUCUAAAGAGUACUAUUCGAUAUAUCUAGGUAGAGUAUUUAAAGUUUUUUUGUAUAUAAUUAAACGAAGUAUUCACGGAGAAAUUGACAAAAAAAUAAAAAUAAAAUCACAAGACACUAAUUUGAUACACUUUAAGUCACAAGAUACUAAAGUGAGAAAGCUCGCAAGGGUGGCAUCUAAAGUUUACCCCCCCCCAAAAAAAAAAAAAAAAAAN
rnacentral:lncRNA from 1 species